GAUGAAGAACGUAGCGAAAUGCGAUAAGUAAUGUGAAUUGCAGAAUUCAGUGAAUCAUCGAAUCUUUGAACGCACAUUGCGCCCCCUGGUAUUCCGGGGGGCAUGCCUGUUCGAGCGUCAUUUCACCACUCAAGCCUCGCUUGGUAUUGGGCAACGCGGUCCGCCGCGUGCCUCAAAUCGACCGGCUGGGUCUUCUGUCCCCUAAGCGUUGUGGAAACUAUUCGCUAAAGGGUGUUCGGGAGGCUACGCCGUAAAACAACCCCAUUUCUAAGGUUGACCUCGGAUCAGGUAGGGAUACACGCUGAACUUAAGCAUAUCAAUAAACGGAGGA
rnacentral:misc_RNA from 1 species